AUUAUUGGGCGUAAAGAGCUCGUAGGCGGUUUGUCGCGUCUGCCGUGAAAGUCCGGGGCUCAACUCCGGAUCUGCGGUGGGUACGGGCAGACUAGAGUGAUGUAGGGGAGACUGGAAUUCCUGGUGUAGCGGUGAAAUGCGCAGAUAUCAGGAGGAACACCGAUGGCGAAGGCAGGUCUCUGGGCAUUAACUGACGCUGAGGAGCGAAAGCAUGGGGAGCGAACAGGAUUAGAUACCCUGGUAGUCCAUGCCGUAAACGUUGGGCACUAGGUGUGGGGGACAUUCCACGUUUUCCGCGCCGUAGCUAACGCAUUAAGUGCCCCGCCUGGGGAGUACGGCCGCAAGGCUAAAACUCAAAGGAAUUGACGGGGGCCCGCACAAGCGGCGGAGCAUGCGGAUUAAUUCGAUGCAACGCGAAGAACCUUACCAAGGCUUGACAUGAACCGGAAAGACCUGGAAACAGGUCCCCCACUUGUGGCCGGUUUACAGGUGGUGCAUGGCUGUCGUCAGCUCGUG
rnacentral:rRNA from 1 species